rnacentral:rRNA from 1 species
GCGGACGGGUGAGUAAUGCCUAGGAAUCUGCCUGGUAGUGGGGGAUAACGUCCGGAAACGGACGCUAAUACCGCAUACGUCCUACGGGAGAAAGCAGGGGACCUUCGGGCCUUGCGCUAUCAGAUGAGCCUAGGUCGGAUUAGCUAGUUGGUGGGGUAAUGGCUCACCAAGGCGACGAUCCGUAACUGGUCUGAGAGGAUGAUCAGUCACACUGGAACUGAGACACUGUCCAGACUCCUACGGGAGGCAGCAGUGGGGAAUAUUGGACAAUGGGCGAAAGCCUGAUCCAGCCAUGCCGCGUGUGUGAAGAAGGUCUUCGGAUUGUAAAGCACUUUAAGUUGGGAGGAAGGGCAGUAAAUUAAUACUUUGCUGUUUUGACGUUACCGACAGAAUAAGCACCGGCUAACUCUGUGCCAGCAGCCGCGGUAAUACAGAGGGUGCAAGCGUUAAUCGGAAUUACUGGGCGUAAAGCGCGCGUAGGUGGUUCGUUAAGUUGGAUGUGAAAUCCCCGGGCUCAACCUGGGAACUGCAUUCAAAACUGACGAGCUAGAGUAUGGUAGAGGGUGGUGGAAUUUCCUGUGUAGCGGUGAAAUGCGUAGAUAUAGGAAGGGACACCAGUGGCGAAGCGACCACCUGGACUGAUACUGA